UACAGAGGGUGCGAGCGUUAAUCGGAAUUACUGGGCGUAAAGCGUGCGUAGACGGCUAUCUAAGUCGGGUGUGAAAGCCCCGGGCUCAACCUGGGAAUUGCAUUCGAGACUGAAUAGCUAGGGUGCGGUAGAGGGAAGCGGAAUUUCCGGUGUAGCGGUGAAAUGCGUAGAUAUCGUGAGGAAUACCAGAGGCGAAGGCGGCUACCUGGACAAUUGCUGACGCUCAGGCACGAAAGCGUGGGGAGCAAAAGGG
rnacentral:rRNA from 1 species